GCUUCCUAGGUGGAAUUACAAACAAAAAUAGAGUGUUUCCGGACCCCAGUCUGACAGCUGGAGAACAAGCAUAGGACCAAACCAGGGCCCCUGAACAUAGGUGUCAGUUGGGAGGCCUGGGAAGUCUAUGGGGCCUCUGGCAGUGGAACCAGCAGACUUGGCCAACAAAGAAACCAAAUGUGGUGUCACUGGAAUUGAGUCUGGAAUGCAGUGAAAAGUGUGCCUCGUAAGUGCUCCAAUUCAGCACUGCUCUAUCCAGCUAUGCAAACCAGAAAUCCAGGAGUCAUGCCAGACAUAUCUUCAGUUUCUCUCCCUGUCUGUCACCAAGGCCCACUGCCUUUACUCUCUCUCCUGCAUCUGAAGACAUACAUCCUUAAACUGAGCAAUCACCAUUUCCCCAGGAAUAUCAAGAGCCUUUGAACAGAA